UUCAGACAUCUUUAGCCAUAUUGGGCGACUCGGUGGGAAAUCAAAAGAGGUUUGGUGGUCGAGUGAAGAAGACGCUCAUAGUGCAUACACUUAUAUUCUACUCAAUUGCGAGGAUCUAUUUAUGCGUUAUUUUGAAGGUAACAUAUAUUGACACUUCUAAAAACAUAUAAGUAUAAAUUAUACAAUUACCAAAGAUUAAUUAAUAUAAAAUAUGAUUUUAUAACCUAUUUGUUUCUCAAGUCGAAGAAACAUUUCCAGGUAUAUCCACAAGUGACGUAGAUAAAAGGAAAGAUCAACACUUUAUUAAGUGGUUGAAGAAUCAGGUAUUAACUCAAACUGUUAAUUUUUUCAGGUCGAUCACUCUUUUUUCAUACAUGAUAUGUAUUUCAACGUUCUCUUUAUUUUUGCAGGUUGAUUAUGACGACGAUGCAGAUUAUCCUAAGUGGUUACACGAAAUAAUUCAAUCUCCACUUGUAAAGGUCACCACAUCACAUAUGUAUUUCACACGAAACUUUACUUUCACACAUAUGAGUAUGGUAGACAGAUGGCGACCAGUAACUAUGGAAUAAGUGUGAAAGGGGAAACAGAUUUCUACGGGAUCUUGACGGAGAUUUUUGAAGUCGAAUUCCCAGGGAUAUUGAUGCUGAAAUGCAUCCUCUUCAAAUGUGAAUGGUUCGACCCUGUCGUCAACAGAGGUGUUCGGUUUAACAAAUUUGGUGUAGUUGUUGUCAAUGGUGGACGAAGGUACAACAAAUUCGAACCUUUCAUCUUAGCUUCACAAACAGACCAAGUUAGCUUCCUUUCAUACCCUCGAAUGAGAGAAUCGGAAAUAAAUUGGUUAGCCGUGAUCAAAGUUACACCUCGAUGACGAAUCAUCAGUGGAGAAGAACCACCAUUGCAAGAAGAACAGAUAAAUGAAGUCGAGGAACCUAAACAAGAAAUUGAUGACAUCCUUCUCAUUGAUCCGCAUAAUCAUGACUACGAACAUCUUACCGACAAUGCCACAGACGAAGCUGUUGAAAACGAGUUUAAUGAAAAUGAUGAUGUUUCUAGUGAUGACGAGAAUGUCGAUGUAUCUGAUUGAUGUAUUUGUUUUUGUGUAAGGUAAUGGGAGUUUGUAUUAGAAAUAAGAGAUUAAGAUUAUAAUUAAGUUAAGGAAUUGUGGUUUUAGAAUUUGGAGUUUGGAAUGGAAAGAAUAGAUUGAGGUUAAAGGGAAGAUGGGUUUGGGGUUUGGAAUAUAUGAAGUAGAAGAUAAGGAAGAUGGGGUUUGGGGAUUGAGGUUUCGGAUUUUAGGGAUUUAAACAUAAUCCUCGUAAGAUAACGAGGAACUAACGACGAAAUUAAAAAAUAAAGAACGCGGGACUCGUUAAUUCCACGUAAGCAAAAAUUAUCGUAAAAAUUUGUAACAUAACGAGGAAAUAACGACGAAAUUAAAAAAAAAAAAGAACGCGGGACUCGUUAAUUCCACGUAAGCAGAAAUCAUCGUAAACACCUCGUAACCGAAAAACGCGGACCUUGCUAUUUCCUCGUAAAAUAAAAACAUGGGCUUUGCAAUUUCCUCUCUAAUUUGAUUAGUUUAAAAAAAAAAAAGAGAAGAAAGAUACUGGAAUAACAUGUGGGAAGAAACAAGGCGAGACCUAUAUAAGUCUAGCAAGACCUACGUAAGUCUAGCCUUGUCUCCGCCCACAUGUGUUCCAGUAAUUUCUUCUCCUUCUUUUUUUUCAAAUCUUUCUAGUUUGAGAAGCAAACUGGUGAGUAAUUAUCUCUGAUUUGAGAAGCAAAUUGGUGAGUUUAUCUUUGAUUUGAGAAGCAAACUGGUGAGUAUUUAUAGGAAAUUUUGAAAGGUUUUACGACCAAUUAGCUUCGUCUCAUUCCUCGUAAGUAGAAAAUCGGGCCUCACUAAUUCCUCGUAAAUGAAGAACGCAAGACUCGUUAAUUUCACGUAAGCAGAAAUCAUCGUAAAGACCUCGUAACCGGAAAAUGCGGGCCUCGCUAUUUCCUCGUAAAAUAAAACGUGGGCUUUUGUAAUUCUUCGUAAAUUUACGAGGAAAUUACGCGGAUAUGUAAUCUCUUAUAUAUACUCCCGAGCGCUCACACUUUAUUUCGUCUGAAAUUCCUCUCUACUUCCUCUCUAUUUCGUAGCAAUGGUAAGUCUCUCUAGUUCCUCUCUAAUUUGAUUAGUUUAGGAUAGAUUAAGUGGUUAGUGUAGGGAAUUUAGAUAAGUUAAGGGAUUUUAUGGUAAUUAGUGUUGAUUAGGUGGUUAAUGUACGGAAUUUAGCUAGAUUUAUAGAAUUUGUUAUUUAUUGAAUUUGUUAUUUAUUGUUGAUGUUAAUUUUAAAAAUUAAUUUUUUUUCCAGACGGUUCAAAAGAACAGACUUACUCCCCAUUACAUAGAGAUGUUCGGUGAGCCUGGUAGUCGUUUAGACCCGUCUUCUUCAGCUCCCGGUUCUUCGGGUCCGGAGAUUGUCCCCGAGACUCAGUCUUCUCAGAGAGUCUCUCGGUCGCCUUCUUCUAGUGCACCAUCGGUUCCUCAUGUGCCUCCUCCGAUGGCUCCUCCGACGAUGCCUCCUCCUGUGCCUCCUCCAAUGCCCGCCGAGAUGCAUCCUGAUUUGAUGGUGCCUCCGAGUGCUCCUUACUCCAGUAUACUGUCGAGGACCUUCUCGGUCAGCCAGGCAAAGAAGGUUUAUCAGUCAUAGACCCCGACUGACCGGACGAAACUUUGUGAUAUGUUACAUUAACUUUUUUAAAAUUCUUUUAUAACAUUAAUAAAUAAUUUAUACUUUAAAUAUGUCUUUUUCAGGUUUGGGGUUGACGGAUGUCUUGCAUCGGACGUAACCGACACGAUCAAAGGUUACUUCUCCAGGCCACAUCCGAACUGGAAAAAGACGCCUAUCUACGUCAAAGAGACGUAGUUCAAAAUUUACGCUGUAAGUUACUAUUAAUUAAUUAUAUAUACAUUAUUUUUUUCAUGAUUUAUAUAUAUUUUAAACACUAAUUAUUAAUUUAAUUUUUGUUUACAGCAAUAAUAUCAUUGGUCCAAGGGGGUCAAUGAGAGGGUGAGGAAAGCGUUUUAUGGUAAGGCGAAAGUUCGCUUGUUGGACGCGGUCUCCAACUGGAAGGGCAACUGGAUCGUGAAAGGGUAUGAGAGUGGCAAACCCGCUGAGCUCACCACAGAUGUGUGGGAUGGCCUCAUCCGUUAUUGGCGGGAUCCUGAGUCCAUUAGAAUCACCCAGUCUUGCUCUACCUCCCGUAACACGGUAAAUGAGCACGGCCACAGUACGAUGCUUCACUCUACGGGCCAAAAACUCCACACCGGUGUCUGUUUAGAAAUGGUAAUUAAAUAUUUUAUUUAAUUAAUUUUUAAUAUAUAUAUAUAUAUAUAUAUAUAUAUAUAUAUUUAUUUAUUUAUUUAUAUAUAUUUUAACUUUCUUAAAUAUUUUUUAGGCCAAAGAGAUGGGACAACUCCCGUCUCUUUUGCAACUUUAUGAGAGGAUCCACAAGAACAACGCGGGCCAAUUUCUAGAUGGCAAGUCCGAGCAAAUCUUCAACGACUUGGUUGCUCAGGUUGACGAGCGCUAGACCCAGCUAACCCAGCAGUCCACCGACGGAUUACCUGUCACCUUAUCCACACUUGAAGUAGAUAAGAUUUACGAGGAGGUAAUUUUUUAAAAAUUUUAAUUUUUUUAUUAUUCAUUAAUUUAACUUUAAAUUUUUACUAACAAUAUUUAUUUUUUGUUUUUAAGGUUGUCUCUAAGAAAAAGGGACGUACGUUGGGGAUUGGUUCCGUCAACGAUGUUCUGCGAGCGACAUCGUCUUAUGGUCAGACACGGGAAGAUGAAGUCACUCAGCUGCGUAGAGAGUCCACUUAGCUGUGUAACGAGUUGGACUCGACACGAUCUGUGUUCACAGCUCGUGUGGGUGGAGUCGAGGGCUUCUUGGACGUUAUAGCGGCCACAAAUCCGGAAUGGGAAACCUUGUUGAGGAACAUGCGACGACAAAAUCCCAUUCCAGGCGAGUCAUCAUCCGACACAUAUGCCGAGGCGGAUGUAAAGAGGAGUGGUGAAUUUUACCGGACGAUGAACGAUUCUUAGUUCUUUUUUUUCGGUUGUUGUAUUAUAAAUUCAGAACUUAUUUAUAUAUAAAAUAUUUUCGUAUUGAUUUUUUUAAAAAAAUUAAUUUUAUUAAUAAAUUAAAUAAUUUUAAUUAUUUUUAAUUAUAUUUUUAAAUUCUGUAAAAUAAUAAAACGAAGUAAAUUCGUAGCUAAUUUACGACCUACCGUGGGAAAUUUACGAGGAAAUGACGAGGAAGGUUAAACGAGUAUUUUACAAGGAAAUACUUUCGAGGUAUUUACGUGUACUUUACGAGGAACUCCUUUCGAAGUAUUUACGAGAAAAUAUAGCGAUGUUUUUACAUGGAAUAAUUACGUGGUCUUUACUACAAAAUAUUGUACUUCGUCUUUAUGACGACAUAUUUUCCUCGCUAAGUUACGACGAAUUGGUGAGAAUAUAUGCGUUACGACGAACGAGUAACGACAAAACGUAGUUUCUCGCUAAUUCUUUGUAAAGCCUCUUUUACGAUGAAUUUACGAGGAAUACCGCUGUCGUUAAGCUUAUUUUUUCUUGUAGUGAAUGUUCUUUCCUACCGGCAUUUGUCAAAUUUUUAAUGGGAGCUGGCCUAGUUUGUAAAGUUUAUGGGAUUUUGUUGAUUAGGUAUUUAAUAUUUUCUUGUCAAUUCUAUUGCACCCAAGUUUGUCUUCCAGUUCCCCCUGCCAGUUCCGCUUUAAGCUUAGAAUUCAAAAUGAUACUGGUAAGAAAUAUAUAGUAUAGUUACCAUACACAGAAAGAACAAAAUUGUCAAAUAUUGCUGGUGUAUAAUUACUUCAUUAGGACCUUGCUUUAGUUAAUUUUUUCUGUUCGCAUUAAUAUAGUUCUCUGUUCAAGUCAUUUUCAUAUUGCACGCUUAACCUAGUAUAAAAUAUUCAUAUGAGUUAGAAUAUGACACAAACACUGAGACAAAUUAUAAAAUAUGAUAAAUUUCUCAUCUCGUGAUCGGCAAAAUAGGGUACAAGUUACAAUAUCAUAAUGGCCAUGUGAAUUAAAAGACCCAUGAACAUGCACAUGCUCUUGUUCCCUGCCCCUCUCGUGGACCCCAAAUUUAAUAAACUUCUCAUUAGAUAGAAAAGAUCAAACUACAUGAUUAAUUGAUCCUAUAAUAGGAACUUCCGCUGAAGUGCCCGCCAUCACGAGUUCGAGUCCUGACCAUAACGAAUUUAACAUAGUUUCCGUUUGGCCUCCAGGAUCUUUCUCGCCAGUUCCGGUUGGACGCGGUGGGAUAGUCGGACUAAGUGAAAGGUCUGGAUACCUGGUUUAUCAAAAAAAAAAAAAUUGAUCUUAUAAAAGUAGUAAUUCAUAAUCUGAAUAAUAAUAAUUAUAAUGCUCAAUCAAAAGGGUUUUAAAAACCAUGGCAUGUGGUUUUUGUUUUACUAAACAUACAUGGGGUUUUUGUCACUUGGGAUUAUUACAUUUUUUCUUUGUAACUUGGAAUUAUUACAUGUUAAUAAAUCAAUUUUACUAGCUUUGAUUCUUUUGUUUCAUGAUGAUCAAUAAUUUUUUUUUCGAAAAAAGCACAUGGCAUCAGUGAUAAUAUAUAAUAAUAAGAACCAUCAACAAGUGUAUAAGAGUACGUAUUAUGUGUACACAAUACUAAAAUGUUGUCUUAAAUGUAUAUCCACUCUUGCGAAUGUAUAAUAACUAACUUAUAAACUUUUUUCUUCUUGAAAAUAUGAAAAUUAUAGAUUUAAAAUUAGGAAAAACAUAUAUUUUGAGAGAGAUGACUUAAACUAAAGCCGCCACAAAUAUAAUCAUCAGUUAGUUUAAACAUGACAGAUUACGGACCACAUGUCCAAGAAAAUUCGGAUACCAAUUUAUGAUGAAAUGACAGCAGACCACAGGUAACGUUUGCAACGGAUUGUUCUCAAUUGGUGAAGAUGGUUUCGGAACCAGAAGAAUGGCCAGCAUUCGAAAGCUAUUUGGAAGACAUACAGUUUCUCAAAGGAAGUUUCCUCAACUCAGAUAUCGUUCAUGUACCUCGGACAGCGAAUCUUCGGGCGGAUAGUCUAGCACGCAGUGCUAGGAAACAAUCGUCCUUUGUCGUUCACAUGGAUGCGGAGUUACCGAUUUGGUUUACAGAGUCAACAUGAGUCUGUAAAUUCUUUGCUGUCAAAAAAAAAAAAAAAAAAAAAAAAAAAAAAAAAAAAA